AUGGCUGGUUGUUUGAGACCCAUCCCCAAAUCUCACAAUGGUGAGAGAGGAAAAACAGUUUCUAAUGACAUCAUGGCUGGUGGAUCCACACCCUUCCUCCAACCCCCAAAAGCAGCACCCCAAGACAUAGCCGUCACAACUAGAGGUCGACCGAUUAUGAUUUUUCAACGCCGAUACCGAUACCAAUUAUUGGAGGACCAAAAAAAGCCGAUACCGAUUAAUCAGCCUUUUUUAUUUUUUUUGUAAUAAUGACAAUUACAACAAUACUGAAUGAACACUUAUUUUAACUUAAUAUAAUACAUAAAUAAAAUCAAUUUAGCCUCAAAUAAAUAAUGAAACAUGUUCAAUUUGGUUUAAAUAAUGCAAAAACAAAGUGUUGGAGAAGAAAGUAAAAGUGCAAUAUGUGCCAUGUAAGAAAGCUAAUGUUUAAGUGCCUUGCUCAGAACAUGGGAACAUAUGAAAGCUGGUGGUUCCUUUUCACAUGAGUCUUCAAUAUUCCCAGGUAAGAAGUUGUAGUUAUUAUAGGAAUUAUAGGACUAUUUCUCUCUAUACGAUUUGUAUUUCAUAUACCUUUGACAAUUGGAUGUUCUUAUAGGCACUUUAGUAAUGCCAGUGUAACAGUAUAGCUUCCGUCCCUCUCCUCGCUCCUACCUGGGCUCGAACCAGGAACACAUCGACAACAGCCACCCUCGAAGCAGCGUUACCCAUGUAGAGCAAGGGGAACAACUACAAGAUACAUGGUUGAUGAUAUUACUAGUUUAACUAGUGAUUAUGUGAAGAUUGAUAGUUUUUUAUAAGAUAAGUUUAAUGCUAGCUAGCAACUUACCUUGGCUUCUUGCUCCCCUCGCGUAACAGAUAGUCAGCAGGCUCCUUUUGGAGUGCAAUGUAAGGCAGGUGGUUAGAGCGUUGGACUAGUAACCAGAAGGUUCCAAAAACGAAUCCCCGAAUCCCCCCUGAACAAGGCAGUUAACCCCCGUUCCUAGGCCAUCAUUGAAAAUAAGAAUGUGUUCUUAAUCUGACUUGCCUAGUUAAAUAAAGGUGUACAUUUAAAAAAAUAAUUAUAAUAAAUAAAUUCAUCUGCAAAUCGGUGGCUAAAAAUACCGAUUACCGAUUGUUAUGAAAACUUGAAAUCGACCCUAAUUAAUCAGCCAUUCCGAUUAAUCGGUCGACCUCUAGUCACAACCCUACCAGACAGCAUGGUAGGGUGACUUCAAACCUUGAGCUGUAAAGUGGGGAUGCAAACUAGUCACAAUCUGAAUACAAAAGCAGGUGUAUUAACAUUGUAACAAUACAGCAAGCAGAAAAAUACUGUAAGCAUGUGCAGUUUUGCUUAAUUUAACGAAAAUGUUUAAUGCAUAUUAUAGUACAAUGAUAAUUUGUCUUAUAAGUGUUUUAACUUACAGAUCGCCAUAUAGGAUUAUGCGAAACAUAUUCACGAAGCUAUUUCUCGUUAACUACUAAAACUAUCUAACCGAGUACAGCAAGCAAACAACUUGGGUCGUGGCAGAAAGGACGACGAGAAUGGUUUUAUUAUUCAAAUACAAUUACUUAAUUAAAGGGGUGGUUCAUCUAAAAAUACUUUUAACCUCAUUAGAGCAUUAGCCUUUACCAGAGACAGUUUUUAGGUUAGUUGGAUCAGUAUUUAGACUUCUGCAAUUUUAUUUCAAAAUGCGACAUUUACGAUUUUAUCUAGAAUGUGUAAAAAAUAUCCUCACUUUAUGCAACAAAUAUUGUCUCGUCAUUGAAUUGCCCAAAACCUAUGUUUUGCUUUAAAACAUGUUACGAAAAUCGACCUACUAGAGCUAAUGUUUUCUUCAGAUUUGUGUCAUCUGGUUGAUACUCUUCCUCUUGAUUCAAAGAUUUGUAAUUAAGUUCUGACUCUGACCCAAAUCGCGGCUCGGCGCAGAUUAAUCAUAAAUGACUUCCUGGAUUUUAAUGAAAAAAUUACUGAUAUCAUUUGGAAAUAUUAGGCUAGGUAAAUAUUUUAGCAAAGCAAUCUUAUCGAGAUUUUAACUACAAGGGCUAUUGCAGUGAUUGGAGGCACCGGUUGUGUCUUUCGAAGGUAUUUAUGACAACUUUGACAUUAAAUGGGGUUUCUAUGGGAGAGGGAAAUGUAGAAUUCGCUGAUGAGCUAAACUAAAUACUGAUCCAACCAACAUAAAAACUGUCUCUGGUUAAGGCUAAUGCCUAGGAAAAUGUUCUAGCCAGAUGAAAUUUAUUUUUCGAUGAACCACCCCUUUAACAUAGUUGAUGAAAACAUUAAACAAGGCAAUAUAACAGUUUACAUUUCAAGAUAAUACUUUAUGAACAAAGCAUUUAUCUAAACAUGAAUCUGAGAGAUAGGCAGAGAACGUAGCUUGACUCAAAUCUAAUAUACUGUACUUAGAAAGGGGGGGGAGAAAGAUGGAAGGGUAGAGUGACAAAGCGAGGGAGACAGAGAGAAAGAAGGAGAUACGAGUUGUAUAGUUGCCACUAGGGCUGAGGGAUAGGACUACAUCCAUCGUCAAUGGCAACGACGUGACAAUGUCAAAAACAAUGUUUUGUUAAAUUUGUAGUCAACUCGAGAAAUUCUGUUUUCAGAAACUUUUUACAAUCGCGGAUAAUGUUAAUAAUCUAUUCAUAUUUGUGUUCUGCAAAGUCCUAAUAUUGGUAAUAAUAAUGGUUUUGUUCGAAUACUCGGCACACCCCUAUUAAAGACAUACUGGGGACGAUUGCGCUAACAAGGCAAGGGGUUUUUGGAACAGGUGCACACAAACUGGAACUCAGAGCAAAUCCUAAUAUUAAAAUACUGU
rnacentral:lncRNA from 8 species